GAUGAACGCUGGCGGCGUGCCUAAUACAUGCAAGUCGAGCGAACAGACGGAGGUGCUUGCACCUCCUAACGUUAGCGGCGGACGGGUGAGUAACACGUGGGUAACCUACCUAUAAGACUGGGAUAACUUCGGGAAACCGGAGCUAAUACCGGAUAAUAUUUAGCCUCGCAUGAAGCAAUAGUGAAAGACGGUUUUGCUGUCACUUAUAGAUGGACCCGCGGUGUAUUAGCUAGUUGGUGAGGUAACGGCUCACCAAGGCAACGAUACAUAGCCGACCUGGUAGGGUGAUCGGCCACACGGGGACUGAGAACCGGCCCAGACUCCUACGGGAGGCAGCAGUAGGGAAUCUUCCGCAAUGGACGAAAGUCUGACGGAGCAACGCCGCGUGAGUGAAGAAGGUUUUCGGAUCGUAAAACUCUGUUGUAAGGGAAGAACAAGUACGUUAGUAACUGAACGUACCUUGACGGUACCUUACCAGAAAGCCACGGCUAACUACGUGCCAGCAGCCGCCGUAAAAC
rnacentral:rRNA from 1 species